rnacentral:ncRNA from 1 species
UCCAUCGCGAGGUGGAAUCUGAAGGAAGCCUGAGGCAAAACCUUGGUCUGAGGUACACAAAUCACAUUUGAGGCUUAAAGCUAUGGGUAAACUUGCUGAACAAAGUGAAGCCCUAUAACUAUCCGAAAUAGCUAAAGUAAAUGUGGCAGAUAGAUGAGGUGAAAGUGCGUGUU